rnacentral:rRNA from 1 species
UACGAGGGGGGCGAGCGUUGUUCGGAAUUAUUGGGCGUAAAGGGUGCGUAGGCGGCCUGACAAGUCUGAUGUGAAAUCCCUGGGCUCAACCCAGGGCCUGCAUCGGAAACUGUCGGGCUUGAGUAUGGGAGAGGUGAGUGGAAUUUCCGGUGUAGCGGUGAAAUGCGUAGAUAUCGGAAGGAACACCUGUGGCGAAAGCGGCUCACUGGACCAUUACUGACGCUGAGGUACGAAAGCUAGGGGAGCAAACAGG